CCCUUAGAUGUUCUGGGCGGCCCGCGCACUACAUUGGCACUAGCAAAGAGAUCCUAGAUUGAAUUCUUUGGGGUAUUCUUCUAAAUGGUGUCGUGACUGGGAUAAAUACUUGUAAUUAUUGGUUUUGAACGAGGAAUUCCUUGUAAUCGCGGUUUAUCAGCUCGCGUUGAAUGCGUCCCUGCCCUUUGUACACACCGCCCGUCGCUCCUACCGAUGGAUCGUCCGGUGAAGCUCACGGAGUGACUGUUCACGCAACGGUUUACGAAGUGAAAUGGACCUCACGAUUUAGAGGAAGGAGAAGUCGUAACA
rnacentral:rRNA from 1 species